rnacentral:lncRNA from 1 species
AUGAUUAAGUCCAUCUAGAUAUGGUUAUGUGAUCACCAUCAUCACCGUGAACAUUAUCAUUCUAACUAGUCCAUUGUGACCGUCACUAACAGUAUCACUAUAACCUUCACUACCACCACAACCGUCAUCCCUCUGCCCACCUCACCACCACUCUCACCACUGCUAUUCUUUGCUAACAUUUAUUGGUCCCUUACUAUGUUUAGGCAGAGUGCUAAGGCUUUAUUUGCACCAUCUCGUGUCAGUUUUACAACCUCUGAAGUAGGCACCCUUAGUGUUCCCAUUUUAAAUGGGAAGAAACGGAAGUGUCUUCACAUAUCUAAGACUGGCAGGAUUCAAAUUCAGGUUCACUUGAUUUCAAAAAUUAAACUUUUGACCAGUUGUCAAAUCUUGCAAGUUGAAGGAUCUAUCUGAUGUUUAGCUCUAUCCUCUUGAUAAGUAUUUUACUGCCUAGAAACUCUAUGUGUUAUUCACAGACAUUUAAAAAUUGGCUUUUUCGGUUAUCUAUUAAAAAGUUGAACAAGAUUAUUCUAAGAACAAAUCUCUGGGGAACCCCAAAGUGAGCAAUUUUCAACACAGUCAGGAGUGUUCCACUCUUUAAACAUGUUUUCUAUCUUCAAACCCAGUUCAAAACCUUAAAAUAUUCAGUUCCCUGGUGGUAUGUGACUCAAUGUGACCACAGGUAUGGGAUAUUAUCAGGGGUUUGGGAAAUGUCUCUGAGUUCAAUCCCUGGUCUCGCUCAGUGGAUUAAGGAUCUAGCAUUGCUGCAAGCUGCGGCAUAAGUCGCAGAUGAGUCUCGAAUCUGGCAUUGCUGUGGCUGUGGUGUAGGCUUCAACUGCAGCUUCAAUUCGACCCUUAGCCUGGGAACUUCCAUAUGCCACAGGUGUGGCCAUAAAAAGAAAAAAAAAAGAAUUAUGCCAAGCACUUACUAUACAUUAUCUUAUUUAAUUUUCUCAACUAAUAUCCCCGCUUUUCAGAUGACAAUAUUGAGGCCCAGACUGGUGAAGUGACGUGCUCCAGGUUCCACAGUGAUAAGUAGAGGAGCAGGGAUUUGGUUUCUCCUCUGGGUGCCUGCCAGAGCCUGCAUUUUUAUGCCAUUACUUAGACAUUGGAAUAAAAAGUAGAAGAGUGGGAAUUUAGGGAAAAUGUCAACUUCCCAAAGGGCUCUAUCUUCCUACAGUGCUUAUUGUAUUUGGACCUCGCUUUCAAAAGGCUGUAAGACUAGGUUGAGAAAACACCCAGAAAUACUCCCUGUGCCCCAGAGUCUCUGAGCUACUUGGGGGUGGUGCUGGCUAUCCUCUCUGUGGUUUUAUAAUGCAUUUUCCUCUCCCAGCCCGCAUUGAGACACUGCUCCAAACAAAUGGCAUGUCUGUUACUCUUUCACUAAGAGGGAAAGUUGUCGACUUAUUCUAUGUUGACAAUUACUGUUUUGAAAGAAACUUCUAAAAAUUUAAUAAUUGGGGAUGCUUAGUCACUGAAUAUAGUUUCAAAGGGACUUUAAAAACAAAGUAAUCCUGCCUUACCUACCAAAAAAGUGUAUUGGGGGCCAAACGAGAUGAUACGUUAAUUUUUGAAAAUUACAUGCCUUUACUCAAAUAUAUAUAGGAUAUGUUAUUAGAUCUUGACCCUUGUGGCUUAUGAGCAAGGGCAUCUUGGUGCAGUCAUUCUGAAAGAAGGUAAAGAAAUAAAGUCUGGGCAGAGAUGCUGAAGAGUAGGGAUGUAUAGUGAGUGCGUUGUUAAUCCAACAUAGCAGAUUUUUAGUGCUGUGACCUUGGGCUAAUUGUCUGAUACCUUGAGACCUCAGUUUUUUUUAUUUCAAAGAUGAGGAUACUAAUAGAAGCUCUUUCUAGGGUUGCUGAGACUAUUUGAUAAGCUAAAUAAGGUGCUUAGUUGAGGAACUGCCACAGAGUCACAGCAGCAGAAAUAAGAGCUAUUCUAUUACUUUUCUUAAUCACUUUCUUGAUCUACUGAUAAUCUCAUCUACCCAGACCAGUUGGUGAGCCCCAAGUUGUCCGCUGCCCUUUGGCACAACUGUUAGAAGGCCACCUGCUUGCUGACCAGCGGUUUUCUUUUGCCCAUUAAAAUGCUAUCAUCUUUCUGCAAACCAUGAACACACAGGCAGGAAGGAGGCUGUGAUCCACUGGGUUUUACUGAGUCUGGUUUCUCGCAGCAAAGGCUCAAAAAGCAGUGGAGUGUUUUCACCUUAUUUAGGGAGAAAAAAUUCUGCUGAUUUUCUAAGUCAAGAAUUCCCCAAAUUGGCUAGGGUGCUGUUCCUUGCCUCACCUAUGUGCUCAGGGCCUCCUGAGAAAGAGAGAGAGAGAAACCAAAAAAGAAAAGGAAAAAAAGCUCAGUUUCUCUUUUCCCAGAUUGCUUCUUUAAUUGGUUGGUUUGAACAUGGCCCCAAGUACCCAGUGGCUGCAUUAGAGUUUAAUGACUUGAUCAGUUGUUUGCACUAGCACUGGUCCUAGUUAUUCGAUACUUGCUGUUGCUGUAGGUCAAAGUGACUGGACAUUCUGGUUUUGCAGGGACUGUCCUAGUGACAUGGCUCCAAGUGUUUCUUUUUAGCCCUUAUGACAUAAUGUGGUCCCUUAGCAUUCUCCUAGCCCCACCCAGACUGGAGACAUGAAGCAACUGCUCUUGCAAAGUGUUCAUUAGAAGGAUAAAAUAUCAUCUUUAUUUUCUUCUUCUUUCUUUCUUAAAGAAUUAAAAUGGAGAAGAUGCAGGUAGCUGAUAAUUACAAUCUGAAAAAGCUGUGGAUUCUGGAAAACCAAAGUGCAAUGUAAUUUCUAUAGAAGGAAGAGGCAACUAGUUUGGAAAGGCAGGAGAGUGGUUUAUUAGAGCAGAUUGAAAAUUAAAUAUCAAACCACCUCUGGGAGUUCCUGUCGUGGCACAGUGGUUAACGAAUCCGACUAGGAACCAUGAGGUUGCGGGUUCGAUCCUUGGCCUUGCUCAGUGGGUUAAGGAUCCAGCAUUGCCGUGAGCUGUGGUGUAGGCUGCAGACGCAGCUCGGAUCCCACAUUGCUGUGGCUGUGGUAUAGGCGGGUGGCUACAGCUCCGAUUAGACCCCUAGCCUGGGAACCUCCAUGUGCCGCAGGUGCAGCCCUAGAAAAGG